rnacentral:ncRNA from 1 species
CAAAGGCUUGGUCCUGACUUUAAUAUCAAUUUUAACUGAGUUUAUACAUGCAAGUAUCCGCACCCCCGUGAGAAUGCCCACAACCCUCUUUAGAGGGCUAGGAGCUGGUAUCAGGCGCAUAAAAUCGCCCACGACACCUUGCUUAGCCACACCCCCAAGGGUACACAGCAGUAACAAACAUUAAGCAAUAAGUGAAAACUUGACUUAACUACAGUUAAUAGAGCCGGUAAAACUCGUGCCAGCCACCGCGGUUAUACGAGAGGCCCAAAUUGAUAGGUACGGCGUAAAGGGUGGUUAAAAUCUUAUUAACCUAGGGCCGAACUCGUCCCCGACUGUUAUACGUUACGGAAUGAAGAAGUACUAAAACGAAAGUAGCUCUAAAUAUUUGAAUCCACGAAAGCUAGGAAACAAACUGGGAUUAGUUACCCCAUUAUGCCUAGCUGUAAACCCCGAUGUUUUAAUACCUCAAGCAUCCGCCAGGGUACUACGAGCGUGAGCUUAAAACCCAAAGGACUUGGCGGUGCUUUAGACCCCCCUAGAGGAGCCUGUUCUAUAACCGAUAAACCCCGUUAAACCUCACCCUCUUUUGUCUUUUCCGCCUAUAUACCGCCGUCGUCAGCUUACCCUUUGAAGGCUUAUUAGUAAGCAAAAUUGGCUUACCCCAAAACGUCAGGUCGAGGUGCAGUGAAUAAGAGGGGAAGAAAUGGGCUACAUUUACUAAAAUAGUAAACUACGAAAAAGGCACUGAAAUGUGCUUUUAAAGGAGGAUUUAGCAGUAAAAGGAGAAUAGAGUGCCCCUUUGAAAUUGGCCCUGAAGCGCGCACACACCGCCCGUCACUCUCCCCGCAUAAUACCUACUUAAAUACUUAAAUAAAUAUAUUAUUAAUUUAGGGGAGGCAAGUCGUAACAUGGUAAGCGUACUGGAAGGUGCUCUUGGAAAAAC